rnacentral:tRNA from 1 species
UGUAUCGGCCGGGAAUCGAACCCUGGCCGCCCGCGUGGCAGGCGAGCAUUCUACCACUAAACCACCGAUGC